rnacentral:rRNA from 1 species
GACGAACGCUGGCGGCGUGCCUAAUACAUGCAAGUCGAACGAACUCUGGUAUUGAUUGGUGCUUGCAUCAUGAUUUACAUUUGAGUGAGUGGCGAACUGGUGAGUAACACGUGGGAAACCUGCCCAGAAGCGGGGGAUAACACCUGGAAACAGAUGCUAAUACCGCAUAACAACUUGGACCGCAUGGUCCGAGUUUGAAAGAUGGCUUCGGCUAUCACUUUUGGAUGGUCCCGCGGCGUAUUAGCUAGAUGGUGGGGUAACGGCUCACCAUGGCAAUGAUACGUAGCCGACCUGAGAGGGUAAUCGGCCACAUUGGGACUGAGACACGGCCCAAACUCCUACGGGAGGCAGCAGUAGGGAAUCUUCCACAAUGGACGAAAGUCUGAUGGAGCAACGCCGCGUGAGUGAAGAAGGGUUUCGGCUCGUAAAACUCUGUUGUUAAAGAAGAACAUAUCUGAGAGUAACUGUUCAGGUAUUGACGGUAUUUAACCAGAAAGCCACGGCUAACUACGUGCCAGCAGCCGCGGUAAUACGUAGGUGGCAAGCGUUGUCCGGAUUUAUUGGGCGUAAAGCGAGCGCAGGCGGUUUUUUAAGUCUGAUGUGAAAGCCUUCGGCUCAACCGAAGAAGUGCAUCGGAAACUGGGAAACUUGAGUGCAGAAGAGGACAGUGGAACUCCAUGUGUAGCGGUGAAAUGCGUAGAUAUAUGGAAGAACACCAGUGGCGAAGGCGGCUGUCUGGUCUGUAACUGACGCUGAGGCUCGAAAGUAUGGGUAGCAAACGGGAUUAGAUACCCUGGUAGUCCAUACCGUAAACGAUGAAUGCUAAGUGUUGGAGGGUUUCCGCCCUUCAGUGCUGCAGCUAACGCAUUAAGCAUUCCGCCUGGGGAGUACGGCCGCAAGGCUGAAACUCAAAGGAAUUGACGGGGGCCCGCACAAGCGGUGGAGCAUGUGGUUUAAUUCGAAGCUACGCGAAGAACCUUACCAGGUCUUGACAUACUAUGCAAAUCUAAGAGAUUAGACGUUCCCUUCGGGGACAUGGAUACAGGUGGUGCAUGGUUGUCGUCAGCUCGUGUCGUGAGAUGUUGGGUUAAGUCCCGCAACGAGCGCAACCCUUAUUAUCAGUUGCCAGCAUUAAGUUGGGCACUCUGGUGAGACUGCCGGUGACAAACCGGAGGAAGGUGGGGAUGACGUCAAAUCAUCAUGCCCCUUAUGACCUGGGCUACACACGUGCUACAAUGGAUGGUACAACGAGUUGCGAACUCGCGAGAGUAAGCUAAUCUCUUAAAGCCAUUCUCAGUUCGGAUUGUAGGCUGCAACUCGCCUACAUGAAGUCGGAAUCGCUAGUAAUCGCGGAUCAGCAUGCCGCGGUGAAUACGUUCCCGGGCCUUGUACACACCGCCCGUCACACCAUGAGAGUUUGUAACACCCAAAGUCGGUGGGGUAACCUUUUAGGAACCAGCCGCCUAAGGUGGGACAGAUGAUUAGGGUGAAG